rnacentral:lncRNA from 1 species
CACACCAUAAUCGAUUCUACUACUGUUUAUUAUCAGGUUAUUCUACUAUUCAUAUAAUGGGAACGACGCCAUAUUCAUAAGCAAGUAAAAUAUCUGCUUCUAGAAACCAUCUAGCCUCUUCCACUCUCAUUGGCUUCUGUGUUCUCAUCAUAUUUUUCAUUGUUCUAUUCUUCAUUUGCCUCGAUCUAGUUGAGAAACUUCAGUUCUUGCUAGAUUCAUGCUUCUUUGUGGAUUUGUUUGUUGCUUUUUGUGGUUUUACUAAAGGUUUUUUUCCCAAUUCCUUGUCCGAGAUGUGAAAUUUUUAUUGGGUUACUCUUAUUUUAAUUUGAUCUACUUCUAAAGCUAUAGAUCUUGCUUGGGGGGUAUGUGUGUGUGUGUGUGUGUGUGUGUUUUUUUUGGAUUUCUGCUGUCUUCGACUAUAUUCUAGUUCUGACUAUCAUUUAUACCGUAGUUCUAGCAUAUUUCCAACUGGUUUUUUUUCUUAGUCUAACUCGAUCAGCUGAAAAGCUUCAAUUUUGCUAUAUUUUUACUUUUGUGUGGAUUUUUUUGUUACUUUUUUCACCUUUAUUUAACUUGUUUUUGCUUCUCAUUGUAUAUUGAUAUGUGAAACUUUUGUUGAGUUAUUCUCCACUUACCUUGAUUUACUCCAAAAGCUUUAAUUCUUCAAAUGUGUUCUUUUGCUCGAUAUCUGCCUUUGAUGUUUUUACGAGGAAUACAACAGUUUCUUGUAUUUUUUUUGGCUCGGCUAGGAUUCCUUAUAUUUUUGUCAGCGCUUUUAUUUUUUGUUUUCAACAUUUUACUUUCAUCCAAAUAACAAGCUUCAUUCUUUUUUCCAGUCUUUGCUCUGUUGUGUAUUUCUUUUAUUUUAUGCAGAUUUAGUUAAGGUGUGUUUUUAUUCUUACACUUUGAUUGGCCUUUCUUAUGAUAAGUUAUUCUUAUUAAUUAUGCAGAAACACAACUGCAUUCCACUAAAUUAGGCUUCAAUCCGUCAGGUGUUAAGCGUAAUGAAGAAUCAUAGUUUUCAAAACGACAAUCCCAAUCAAAAUUUUCCCCCAAAAUAUAUGUAUCUGCAUCUCAACUGCAACCUGCAAUCCACUAUCAGAAACCCAUAAAAGUUUACUCGUUAGCUAGCUAACCAUACCCAUAUUUGACCUUCAAAUUUUGGCUCUCAUAUUUAAUUGUAUUUUCUAUCCGUCAAUGUUGUGGCUCCUGUGAAAAAAAAAUGUUCUAAGGUUGUUCAGAUGUUGUUGUAGUUUGUUUGAAAAUGUGCUAAUUUAAUGAAAAUGAUCAAUUUGAUUAUUUUUUAUUCUAUAAUGAUUUAUUCAUUACGUUGUUUUCUUUGGGUAUACAAGAAGAGUUCUGAAGUGUUGAGAAUGUUGUCAUCUACGAAGCAAAAAAUACAUUAUAAUAAUUCACUCCUUUUCAAUCAUAUUUGUCGAUUGAAUCAACAGAGAUUCAUUUUCAUCAAUCUUUUCGUGAAUAUUUCUUUUGUUCUUAUUUUCCAUUCCAAUUUGUAAGUUAUCAUUCCAAAAGUGAAGGAAUUCAAAGUUUCCAACAUCAAUUCAACUGUGCUACCUUCAGGUAUGUUAUAAUUGUUCUUCUUUUUAAAAUUUGCUUGAGUUUUUGUUUUUAUUUGUUUACAUUUUAUAGUUUUUCUGUACUUUUUCUCCUAAAUUUCUUCUAUAAUAUUUAUCACUAAAGAAUUAUUCACCAAUUGCAAGCUCUAAUAUUAUACAUACUUGAACCAAAAUUUGUAAUUAUUGUUCUUAUAUGUAUAAUGUUUGAUCGUCUUUUCCGGUUGUUGUAGUUGACGACCACCACAAUGUAUUUUACCUUAGGAAAGUCUUUCUAUUGAACUAUAUCCUUUCAUAUCUUUUCUCGUUGCUUUAUGCAUUAAGUUUUUCUGUUCUUUUCUUUUCUUUUUUUUUGGUUAUUUAUCUAUAGUCACUUCUAAAAUUUGUAAUAGGUUGCUGGUUCUUGAUCUUUCUUCGUGGAAUCUAUGAACAUUCUAUUUUUUUAUGCAUCUAUGCUUUAUCAUAUGUAUUUUUUAUUUCUAUCUAGUAGUUUCAGUUUCUACCGCAAAAGUUGGAGUCCAGCUAUUCCACAAAAAUUUGUUAGUGUUGCAAUGGAUAAUAUUUUCAAACAAUAUGAUGAUGGAGAUCAGGAGUUACUUAAUCUUCCAGCUACUUCUCGAACUACCAAUGAGUUAUACCACGCCUUUAUUUGUUAACAACAUAAUCAAAGACAUCAGGAUCAGUACAAUAGUUCAGGUCUUGUUCCAAUAUAUAAAAAUACAAUACUUGAAGACAAUAGUUCAGUUCUUGUUCAAAUGUAUAAAAACAAUUGAUGUUCUCAGUUCUAAAGUAGAAGAAAGUUUGAACCUAUUGCAUGUACCAAAUGUUACCUAUGUAUAACCAACAUAUAUCGAUUGUAAAUAUUGUGAUGCAUGAAAAUUUUUAGAGAGAGUAAAUGGUUUUGUUGUUCUGAUGGAAAAAUUAAGCUCCUUAAACCUCAAUCACCAACUGAACUAUAUGCUUUGUUUAUUUUGAAGAAACUUCAUGUACGGAGUGUAAGAAAUUCUAAAAGAGAUAUAAUAAUCAUUUUGCGUUCACUUCGUUUAGUGUAAAGUAUGACAAAUAACUUUUUAAAAAAUACCAAUGUAUUGCAUAUUUAGGGGUCAAGCAAGUGUAUUUCAACAUGGAUUUAGGUACCCAUGGAACCAAAACAAAUUCAAUUGUUGAAGAACUAAUUCUAUAGUUUUAGAUAGUAAAAUUGUGCUUAAUUUGCAGGUAAAGUCACUUUCUUCAAAAGGUAAUUUCACAGCCACUGUCGGAGGAUAAUGAUGCCCUUGAUCAAGCAUCUUCGCUUUGGUCUGUUCUUUUUACCGUUAAUUUUGCUAUUGGAAGAUAAACUAUGUUUAGUAUAUUUUAUUGUUUUGCAGGCAAUUAUGGUUUUUUUGUAUGUUUUGGAAUGGAGGUGCCACUUCUAUUGGACCAUCAAGUAAGUUUUCUUAUUUACUUUCUGCAUAUCCAUUGGAAGUAUUUGUAUCCAUCCCACAAUAAAAUUAUAGGCAGGAUCCUAUGAAUGUUCUAUUGUAAACAUUUUUUUGCCUUUUUAUUUCGCGAUUUUGGUAAACUUGUUUAUGUAGUAAAUACUUGGCCAAACUUUGCAGGUUACUCUUUAUAUGCGUAUGUUUUAUAGUCUUGUUUAUAUAAAAAUUGAUUAUGAAACAUUCAAUACCAAGUUAUNGGUUGAUCGGAAAU